rnacentral:rRNA from 1 species
UCGGAGAGUUUGAUCCUGGCUCAGGACGAACGCUGGCGGCGUGCCUAAUACAUGCAAGUCGAGCGGACAGAAGGGAGCUUGCUCCCGGAUGUUAGCGGCGGACGGGUGAGUAACACGUGGGUAACCUGCCUGUAAGACUGGGAUAACUCCGGGAAACCGGAGCU